GCCAUGAUCACGUCACUGCACUCCAGCAUGGGCAACGGAGCAGGACUCUAUCCCCCACCACCCUCAAAAAAGAAGGAUGUCAAAUUAGUUUAAAAUUCCUACAUCAAGACAAAUUGCAAGUCUGGUGUACACAUGUGCACGAAGGUAAGGGGAGGAUGCACACAUCAGCUUACUGCAAGUAUGAAGAGUUUGUUAAUGACAGCAAUGACACCUAGAAAAAGAUAUUAAAAUGAGAAAAGAAUAAGAAGAGACUGUCCAAAAAGACAGAACUCAAAGUAUAAAUCAGAGUAUAAGUAGAGAGCCCACUAAGGUACUGAUGUUACCAAGGUGCAUUUCCAGAGUUUAACAAAGCAUGAAGGUUCCAACACCUUACCUGGUGGACUGGGGAGGAGGCGAAGUAUCUUACAGAAAAUGAGGAAAGGCUUGUGAGAGCAGACCUGAACUCCAUUCUACGUCUGACCACUCAGCCCAACAUGAUGGCAGCAGCAACAAUAAUUACUGAGAAACUGCCAAAGUUUGAGCAGAGAAAGGCAGUAGGCAAAGGAGCUGUAGACUGAAAAACAAGUGAUGGAGCAAUGAUCUUCAGGAAGUAGACCGAGCAAAAUCUAAAACAU
ensembl:lncRNA novel transcript